rnacentral:rRNA from 1 species
UACGUAGGGUGCAAGCGUUUGUCCGGAAUUAUUGGGCGUAAAGAGCUCGUAGGCGGUCUGUCGCGUCGGUCGUGAAAACUUGGGGCUUAACCCUGAGCUUGCGGUGGGUACGGGCAGACUAGAGUGUGGUAGGGGGAGACUGGAAUUCCUGGUGUAGCGGUGAAAUGCGCAGAGUAUCAGGAGGAACACCGAUGGCGAAGGCAGGUCUCUGGGCCGACUACUGACGCUGAGAAGCGAAAGCAUGGGGGAGCGAAACAGG